GUGGUAGUAGCUCAGUUGGUUAGAGCAUCGGCUUGUGGUGCCGAGGGUCGCCGGUUCGAGUCCGGUUUACCACCCCA
rnacentral:tRNA from 1 species